AAAUUUAAAUUUAUUUUGGUAGGAUGUGUUAAUUGGUCUCUAGUAGCAGUAUGUUAUAGUGUCAUUCAGGUUUCACCAAAUGGGAUUUCACAUAGAAGUAAAAUAAAAAUCUCUUAAAUUUAAAUUUAUUUUGGUAGGAUGUGUUAAUUGGUCUCUAGUAGCAGUAUGUUAUAGUGUCAUUCAGGUUUCACCAAAUGGGAUUUCACAUAGAAGUAAAAUAAAAAUCUCUUAAAUUUAAAUUUAUUUUGGUAGGAUGUGUUAAUUGGUCUCAAGUAGCAGUAUGUUAUAGUGUCAUUCAGGUUUCAGCAACUGGGGCACCUUAUUUUCGGUAUGUGCUUCUGUCAUAGCUUCUGGUAUCACUUGCUAGAUUCAGUGGUCGUACUGAAUGAUUUACUAAUAUGGAAGGUCAGUAGAGCUCUGUUAGCAUGAUCUUCAUGAGUUUGGAU
rnacentral:lncRNA from 1 species